GUAUUUUUUUAGUUGGAAACUAUUUGUUGUUUGCCACUUGUUAAUAUUUUAAAUAACCAUAUGCCAAUGCUACAGAUUGGUUUCCCUACUGGAAGACCUUGGUGAGAAAAUUCCAUGCAUUCUGUAUUGCCACUAUCAUUACAGUACUAUAGCUAAGGUCAAUGGAGUAAUAUAUUCUUUAGUCACUAAUAUAAAUUAUUUGAGAACUCGGGCAGUUUGGCAGAUGCUUCAGGUCAACGGUGGUGGAGUAUAUUUGGACAGCAAGUUUAGACCAAUUUAUAUGUGGCUUGAUGCAGCUCCUUCGGUAUGGACCAAAAAAAUAAAUCAUUUACUAUGUUUGCAAAAUCAAAUGUAUCUGUGCCUGCUAUGCUUUGUUGUCAUCGUGUCAUCUUUUCCUUUUUCAUUUCUAUUUCUAUCUGUGAUAUAUGUAGGCACAUCCAAAUGCAAUUUACUCUCCCCAUAUGCAUGAAAUUUUA